rnacentral:tRNA from 1 species
ACUAAUAUGGCAGAGAAGUGCGGUGGGUUUAAGCUUCAUAUAUAAAGAAUGUCUUUUUUUAGUA